AGAAAAACUCCUUGACUUAACACAUCACCCUACCGGAGCCGCCAAGGGAAAGAGGCAGAGAAAGAAAAGCAGCGAGGGGAAUGGCAGAACAGGGAAGGACAGGAAAAGCGAGAGGAGGUGGCUUGCAUCCUCUAGAUCAUCUCCCCAGGUCGCUGCAGGUUUCUCCUUGGAGCCGGACAGACAGCAGCAUCACUAAGACCCCAGCAAGGUCCCUGAUCGCUUCCACGGGCUGGGCUCCCCAGCUCCAGAUAUGAGUUCUGGGAGCUGGGGCUGAGUUGUCAGCAGGACUCGGUGCAGCUGACCCGUGUGUGCCCACAAUCCCAGGGAAUAGGCCACGGCCAGCUCUGCAGACAGCUACAGAAACGCCAUGGAGGAAACCACCAGUACGGAUGUGAGUGGAGGUCUCUCCCCCAUCGCUGGAGCACGGGACACGGUGCCUGAGGUGACUUCAACACAAAGUUCGAGUUUAAAUGUGGUGUCGGUGAUUGAGCAGCGUCAGAAUUUGAGAAUCCUCCUGUCCCCACUCCUGUUCAAUUAAGAAAACACACCCAAAUUCAUGAACUUUGUGGCCCGCUCCUUGACACAUGCUAUGUGCCAAUUUUUUGUCCCACACCAGGAUAUGCUCCAACGGUUCAACACGGGAAUGUACCACACUGAGGCAACAGAGACCAAGGAGGAUGGAAAGAGGGAGAAUGACCUUUUUAAAGAAUGGAAGUACACACACACGUACUAUUUUAAUAGUUUUCAUGUGUAACUUGUAUGCAACAAAACUAGAACUACAAAAAUUGGAAUUUGGAUUACCCCCCACCCCCUCCCGUCCUCCCUCUGAAACGGCCUGGGCUUGUUUGGAAAGGCAGUGCUGUUUUUCUUUCCUCGGGAGACUUGGCAACAAGGUGUUGUUGCAAUGUGCAAAGGCAGCAUGAGAUAGUGAGCUGCACAGGGGGCGCGGUCACAUCUCAGUGCCGGGGGUUCCUGGGAGCUGUGCACUAGCGAAGGGGACAUGGUCACGUCUCAGAGCCAGGGGUUCCCGGGAGCUGUGCACUAGCGGGAGAGGGCGGGGGGAGGAGGACGUAGUCACGUUUCGGUGCCAGGGGUUCCUGGAAGCUGUGCACUAGCGAAGGGGACACGGUCACGUCUCGGCGCCAGGGGUUCCUGGGAGCUGUGAUUAGCAGGGGGGACGUGGUCACGUCUCGGCGCCAGGGGUUGCUGGGGGGGAUGGGAUGCAGUCAAGCCUAGGUGCCAAGCGUUCCUGGGUGCUGUGCUGUAGUGUGUGUGUGUGUGUGUGUGUGGGGGAUGCAGUCACAUCUCAGUGCCAGGGGUUCCCGGGAGCUGUGCACUAGAGAAGGGGACACGGUCACGUUUUGGUGCCAGGGGUUCCUGGGAGCUGUGCACUAGAGAAGGGGACACGGUCACGUUUCAGUGCCAGGGGUUCCUGGGAGUUGUGCACUAGCGAAGGGGCCAUGGUCACGUUUCAGUGCCAGGGGUUCCUGGGAGCUGUGCUCUAGCAGGGGGAAGGGCGCAGUCACGUCUCAGUGCCAGGGGUUCCCGGGAGCUGUGCACUAGUGAAGGGGACAUGGUCACGUCUCAGCGCCAGGGGUUCCCGGGAGCUGUGCACUAGCGAAGGGGACACGGUCACGUUUCAGUGCCAGCGGUUCCCGGGAGCUGUGCACUAGUGAAGGGGACAUGGUCACGUUUCAGUGCCAGGGGUUCCUGGGAGUUGUGCACUAGCAGGGAGAAGGGCGCAGUCACGUCUCAGCGCCAGGGGUUCCCAGGAGCUGUGCACUAGCGGAGGGAAGCCCUGCUCUGAGCCUAUGCUGAGAUAGCCCCUCUGUGCCCUUCCCAGCAGAGGCCCCAGGCAAGGUGGGGGGCAGUGCCAGCGUUCUGGAUCACCGGGGUGGUGUUCAGCCAGCUGCACUGGCCUGUGGAUCCUCCCGGUGGAUGGGAAAACAGGAUGUUGUCUUUGGUCAGGAGAAGCUUGUUUGUGGCUUUAAGGCACAGCCAGCCUGAGUGGAGUGGUCAGGAGUCAGGCCAGGAUUCCUAACCCAGACGGCAGCUCCAGCUACGGCCCUUCCCCUGCUCCAGAGCAGAAUCCACCUUCCCCUUCCUCAGGAGUGGAACCCCUUCCACCCUCUCCCCCGUUCCUCCUGCCCUCUCCAGCUCGGGGAGGGGUUCAGUAUUUACACCUGGGGGAGAAUACCCCCCCCCUUGCUCUGGGUGAGAUGAUCCCAGGCCAGUGCAGAGCCAGGAACCUCUCCCACCCCCGCUCCCUGAAAUGGGAGGGGUUCGGAUAACAAAGGGGCCUAGAUCUUCUCCUUGGCUUUUGAUCCCCCCCGCAACUCCUUUUAGGGUCAGAGCCCUACAAUUACAACACCAUGAAAUUUCAGAUUUAAAUAGCGGGAAAAAUCAUGACAUUUAUGAUUUUUAAAAUCCUAUGACCUGGAAAUUGACUAAAAUGGACCGUGAAUUUGGUAGGGCCCUAACUAUGAGCCAUGUCUGCUUCAGAGAGACGAGGGCUCCUGCUCUCACUCCCAGCUCCUUGCCCAGGGACCCCGUAGGUCUCAGUUCCCAGUGACCCCUUCCAGUGAUCCCACCCAGCCCAGGCAUAUUCCAGUGCUUAGAGCUGGGGAUUCAGACAUGGGCUUCCUGGGUUCUGAUCCUGGCCUUGCCCCUGACCUGCAGGCAAAUAAUUUCCCCUCUCCGUGCCUCAAUUUCCCCAGCGCUGACAUGGGGGUAAUAUUGACCUGCCCCCCCAGGCGGGUGUGAGGCCAAAUUAUUCUUUGAAAGGUUGUAGUUGCAAAAUGCUGCAGCUGUUUAUUAGACACCCAGAGUCGUGCCAAAGGCCUUGGAGCCCGCUCUGCUGCUCUGGCCAGCACACCAGGUGCAGGCUUCCCCAGGCACUGCCAGCCAAGUCAAGUGGAGCACAGUGCACUGGGCCUUGCCUUAGCCCACAGGUCUGCGCGGUGAGAUCAUUAACUCUUUACCCUGGACACAAGUGGCAUUCGAAUAAGGUGGAAAGACAGCCGCCCGGUGCCAGGACCGGGCCAGGGAACUGAAGCGUGCCAAUGGGUGCUAUGCCUUAAGCUGCUGUGGCAUUGGGGAAGCAGCCCGGAUGAGAUGUCAAGUUAGGGGCGUGGGCACCGGAAGGUCUGUGGAAUGAAGUGUGAUGCUGGGGUAGGUGCCAUUUCUUAAGGUGUUUUUUGUCAUUC